CGCCUUGCCAGCCCGCUCAGAAACUUAAAGGAAUUGACGGGGGCCCGGCACAAGCGGAGGAGCAUGUGGUUUAAUUCGAUGAUACGCGAGGAACCUUACCUGGGCUCGAACGUAAGAUGACUGUAGGUGAAAGCUUACAUCUCUUCGGAGCAUUUUACGAGGUGCUGCAUGGUUGUCGUCAGCUCGUGCCGUGAGGUGUCGGGUUAAGUCCCAUAACGAGCGCAACCCCUACCUUUAGUUGCCAUCAGGUAAUGCUGGGGACUCUAAAGGAACUGCCUACGCAAGUAGUGAGGAAGGCGGGGAUGACGUCAAAUCAGCACGGCCCUUACGUCCAGGGCUACACACGUGCUACAAUGGCCGAUACAGAGGGCAGCUACCUGGUGACAGGAUGCAAAUCUCCAAAGUCGGUCUCAGUUCGGAUCGGAGUCUGCAACCCGACUCCGUGAAGUUGGAUUCGCUAGUAAUCGCGCAUCAGCCACGGCGCGGUGAAUACGUUCCCGGGCCUU
rnacentral:rRNA from 1 species